GACGUCCUAAACAAUUCUUAAUCGAUUUAACUGAUUGCAUUUACUGUGGAACUAAAUUAUAAAACUACAGAAGGAAGAAAUCAAGUAACUAACGAUUGAGGACUUGACUGAUUGAAUACCCCAAUUGGCUUGAGCUUUCAUAGUUUUCCUCCAAUGUGAUUCCACCGGUUGUGUAGAUUCAGCAACUUAGAUAGUGAAGAUGGUUUAUGUAAGUAGAUUAUCUGGAUGGAUGCAGGACAUUCCACAAUCUGUAAGAAUUAGAGUUCUUCCACUUUGUGUAGGAAGGAUGAUCUUCCAAACUGUCUUCUCCUAGAAGGGAGAUAGGGAAAUCUAUACAGACAGUGGAAUGAUGAUAAAAAGAGGGGAGUAAUGUGAGAGUAAUGGUCAAAGAUAUUUUAUAUAACUCUGUAAUCCAUGCAUGAAAAACUAUGGUCUAGUAUAGUUAAGUUUUUAUUGAUCUGAUUGAAUGUAUAAUGUGAUCUUAUCAUAUUCCCCUGCUGUAUAACAUCCAUUAUGACCUCGGGAACACACUUUAAGGGCCAUCUGUAUAUGUAACUAGACGUGUGUACAUGCACG